GCCCGGCUAGCUCAAUCGGUAGAGCGUCAGACUCUUAAUCUGAAGGCUGUGGGUUCGACCCCCACGUCGGGCU